CUACAGCCACCGAUGACAUCUAGCGUCUCCCUACUCGAGGCUGCCAAGCGCGAGGUUAUCCAUGCCGUGGCCGUCCUAAUCUAGAUCUUCAACCCCAACUCGGGUCCGGCAGAAUACAGGGUUCCACCUCCAGCAGCUGACGCAGGAGGGAUGUGGAGGCGAGCAGGCUCCGCAGCAGACGUGGCAGCGUCAUCUACAUCCUAUACCGGAUCCCCUCCUAAUGAUGCUUCGAUCCCACCAGGCUUCAAGCACGGGGGCGCACUCCGCACUGGGGCAGAUGGGAAGGGCUACCUCGCCAUGGAGCUGGGCAGUGGCAUGGGCCGACCUUGGUGUUGCCCACAGCUUCGCUCCGUCAGCUGCCUUCCUGCUCGACGAUGUACACGCGCGCUGCCGGCACACGCGCCAUCUCACUUGCUGCUUCCCACAACGUCGCCCGCCGCCAGCACUGCUGAGCCCUUGCUCUUGACCCAUCGUCCAGCCGGUCGCCUGCCACCCCAAGGUCUCAGCCAUAGACGCCACUGCAUCGACUCCGCUGCCCGCCUUUAUUGAGCGACUUAUCGCCACAUACACAAUUCAGCUUACCGUGGCCAGCAGAUCGUCGUGCCGAUGAACAAGCAGUCUCAACUCUUGUUCAUUGAUCUAUAAUGGUUGCAACAUACAAGGUGUUCGCACACACAAUUGCCCUUGGAACGCAUCGGCAGAUAUGGCGAUACCACAUUCAGAUUGUUAUGGGGGAACUUAUUCCUGCAAUUUGCUGCUUAUUUCUUUCCUUUUGAAUUUUUUUGCUUCUUAUUUCCAACUGGCUGACUUACCGGAUACUCUCCUGUUUUGGUUUAACAUCUUCUCAAAUUCAAAGCAAAUGGCAUGUGAAA